GGGGUUGUGGCUCAGUGGCAGAGCGCUUGCCUAGUAUGCAUGAGGCACUGGGUUCUAUCCUCAGUACCACA
rnacentral:tRNA from 1 species